CUUGCUUUCUUUGCUGGCGACCGGCGCACGGGUGAGUAACACGUAUCCAACCUGCCGAUAACUCGGGGAUAGCCUUUCGAAAGAAAGAUUAAUAUCCGAUAGUAUAUUAAAACCGCAUGGUUUUACUAUUAAAGAAUUUCGGUUAUCGAUGGGGAUGCGUUCCAUUAGUUUGUUGGCGGGGUAACGGCCCACCAAGACUACGAUGGAUAGGGGUUCUGAGAGGAAGGUCCCCCACAUUGGAACUGAGACACGGUCCAA
rnacentral:rRNA from 1 species